GUAGGGUGCGAGCGUUAAUCGGAAUUACUGGGCGUAAAGCGUGCGCAGGCGGUUCGUUAUGUCUGUUGUGAAAGCCCCGGGCUCAACCCGGGAAUGGCAAUGGAAACUGGCGAGCUAGAGUGUGGCAGAGGGGGGUGGAAUUCCGCGUGUAGCAGUGAAAUGCGUAGAGAUGCGGAGGAACACCGAUGGCGAAGGCAGCCCCCUGGGCUAACACUGACGCUCAGGCACGAAAGCGUGGGGAGCAAACAAGAUUAGAUACCCUGGUAGUCCACGCCCUAAACGAUGAUCACUAGGUGUUGGCGGAGCGAUCUGCUGGUACCGUAGCUAACGCGUGAAGUGAUCCGCCUGGGGAGUACGGUCGCAAGAUUA
rnacentral:rRNA from 1 species